GAUGAAGAACGUAGUGAAAUGCGAUACGUAAUGUGAAUUGCAGAUUUCAGUGAAUCAUCGAAUCUUUGAACGCACAUUGCGCCCGCUAGUAUUCUGGCGGGCAUGCCUGUUCGAGCGUCAUUUCAACCAUCAAGCCCCCGGCUUGCGUUGGAGCCCUGCGGCUGCCGCAGGCUCCCAAAUCUAGUGGCGGGCUCGUCGUCGUACCGAGUGCAGUAAACAUCCUCGCUCAGGGAACGCGUCGGGUUCUUGCCGUGAAACCCCCCCAUAUCAAGGUUGACCUCGGAUCAGGUAGGAAUACCCGCUGAACUUAAGCAUAUCAAUAAGCGGAGGA
rnacentral:misc_RNA from 1 species